AGAGUUUGAUCAUGGCUCAGAUUGAACGCUGGCGGCAUGCUUUACACAUGCAAGUCGAGCGGCAGCGCGGGGGCAACCCUGGCGGCGAGCGGCGAACGGGUGAGUAAUACAUCGGAACAUGUCCCGUAGUGGGGGAUAGCCCGGCGAAAGCCGGAUUAAUACCGCAUAUGCUCUACGGAGGAAAGUGGGGGACUCGCAAGGGCCUCACGCUAUGGGAGCGGCCGAUGUCCGAUUAGCUUGUUGGCGGGGUAAUGGCCCACCAAGGCGACGAUCGGUAGCUGGUCUGAGAGGAUGAUCAGCCACACUGGGACUGAGACACGGCCCAGACUCCUACGGGAGGCAGCAGUGGGGAAUUUUGGACAAUGGGGGAAACCCUGAUCCAGCCAUGCCGCGUGCGGGAAGAAGGCCUUCGGGUUGUAAACCGCUUUUGGUCGGAAAGAAAAGGCGCACCCUAAUACGGGGCGUUCUUGACGGUACCGGCAGAAUAAGCACCGGCUAACUACGUGCCAGCAGCCGCGGUAAUACGUAGGGUGCGAGCGUUAAUCGGAAUUACUGGGCGUAAAGCGUGCGCAGGCGGUUCUCCAAGUCCGUUGUGAAAGCCCCGGGCUCAACCUGGGAAUGGCAGUGGAAACUAGGGGACUUGAAUCUGGCAGAGGGGGGUGGAAUUCCACGUGUAGCAGUGAAAUGCGUAGAGAUGUGGAGGAACACCGAUGGCGAAGGANNCCCCUGGGCUGAGAUUGACGCUCAGGCACGAAAGCGUGGGGAGCAAACAGGAUUAGAUACCCUAGUAGUCC
rnacentral:rRNA from 1 species